CACCAUUUUUCGUUAUAUUUAAAGUUAGAACUUAUGCUUCUUUCCUUACACUUCACACUCAUAUAAUACAUCGGGAACAAAGUAAUCAUACAGUCAUGGCUAAGUUUGCUUCCAUCCUCUCUCUUCUCUUUGCUAUUCUUCUUUUCUUUGCUGCACUUGAAGCACCAACAAUGGUGGAGGCACAGAAGCUGUGUGGGAGGCCAAGUACUGGGACUAUGCGAGGAAUUUGUAAUUUUAGUAAUUUUGCGUGCAGGGAUCAUUGCAUCCGAGUUGAGGGAGCAAAACAUGGAUCUUGCAACGUUGCCUUCCCAGUUAACAAGUGUUCCUGUUUCUUCCCAUGUUAAUCGACUAGAAAUUUGUGACGGUUAAUUGUGAAAUUCACAUAAAAUAAGUCUGUCUCAUUCCAUGAGUGGACAUGUACCAGAUAUGAUUAUGUUGGUUUCUUAUAAUAUUAUAAACUUGUACGCAUACCGUUGCGCCCA